GUCGAGAAUAUUCGGCAAUGGGCGAAAGCCUGACCGAGCGACGCCGCGUGCAGGAUGAAGAUCUUCGGAUUGUAAACUGCUUUUUUCUGUGAACAAGUUUUUAUUGAGUGUAGCAGAAGAAUAAGGGAGUGCUAACUCUGUGCCAGCAGCAGCGGUAAUACAGAGCUCCCGAGCGUUAUCCGGAUUUAUUGGGCGUAAAGCGUCUGUAGGUGUUUCAUUAAGUUUUCUGUCAAAUCUCCAGAGCUUAACUUUGGAGCUGCAGGAAAAACUGGUGAAAUCGAGGGCGUUAGGGGCUGAUGGAACGGUAGGCGUAGGAGUGAAAUCCGUUGAUAUCUACCGGAACACCAAAAGCGAAGGCAUUCAGCUGGGAUGACCCUGACACUGAGAGACGAAAGCGUGGGUAGCGAAAAGGAUUAGAUACCCUGGUAGUCC
rnacentral:rRNA from 1 species